rnacentral:rRNA from 1 species
GACAGAGGGUGCAAACGUUGCUCGGAAUUACUGGGCGUAAAGCGCGUGUAGGCGGACCUGCAAGUCGGACGUGAAAGCCCUGGGCUCAACCCAGGAACUGCAUCCGAAACUGCGGGCCUGGAGUGGUGGAGAGGGAAGCAGAAUUCCCGGUGUAGAGGUGAAAUUCGUAGAUAUCGGGAGGAACACCAGUGGCGAAGGCGGCGAUCUGGGAAGAUACUGACGCUGAGGUGCGAAAGCGUGGGGAGCAAACAGG